AACCUCUGGAGAGAAGUCAUUCUAUUGAAAACAAAAAAGAAAUGGCUCACCGAAGGGGAAGGUAAAACCUAAAUAGUUUAGGUUUUUAUCGAAGCUCUCAGGUACACAUGACAGAUGGGG
rnacentral:ncRNA from 1 species